CGGGAGCCGCAGGAUCUGAGCUCUGCCUCUCUCUGAUAGUGCAGCUGGCAGAGGCAUCACGACGCCAUCCACAAGUCCCAGAGAGCAGUGACACACUUGAACUCUCAUCCAUGCUUCUGUGAUAUCCCUCACUAUUCAUAGUGUCACAACUUGACAGUUUGGACAAGAGCAUCCCUGACCGAGAGGCAUCUAACUUCAAAUCCAUUAGUCCAGGGGUCAGCAACCUUUCAGAAGUGUGUGCCGAAUCUUCAUUUAUUCACUCUAAUUUAAGGUUUCGCAUGCCAGUCAUACAUUUAAACAUUUUUAGAUGGUCUCUUUCUAUAAGACUAUAAUAUAUAACUAAACUAUUGUUGUCUGUAAAGUAAAUAAGGUUUUUAAAAU